rnacentral:rRNA from 1 species
GACAGAGGGGGCAAGCGUUGUCCGGAGUUACUGGGCGUAAAGCGCACGCAGGCGGCACGGCACGUGUGGGGUGAAAGCUCCGGGCUUAACCCGGAGUCGCCCUCGCAUACGGCCGCGCUCGAGCCGUUCAGAGGUCAGUGGAAUUGCCGGUGUAGGAGUGAAAUCCGUAGAGACCGGCAGGAACACCCAGGGGGAAGCCAGCUGACUGGGAACGUGCUGACGCUCAGGUGCGACAGCGUGGGGAGCGAACCGG